AUACAACCGGUUAAUAUAACCCG
rnacentral:snRNA from 1 species